CCAAGUUUGCCCUCCACCUUUUUCUAUAUUUACACCUAACCCACCAUAUGACACCUAGCCAUGCAUGACUAAGCAUGAAAGAAAAGAGUUGUCAUUCAUUUGGUCCAUCAUUGCCGUGGCUACACCAAAAGGAAAGAGAAAAAGCUUUUGCUUUCUUAUCUUCCAUUUCCACCAUAGUUCAUCAAAAAGAUAAAAUCUCCAGCCACACAAAAUCUGUUCUUAAGUGUAAUAACCAGCAAGGAAACCAUAGAAAGGGAGGAAAGAAGGAGAGAAGUUAAGGUGCUUUAGUGAACAAACUCAAAGGGAGGAAGGUACAUCAAAGGGGAAAGGCAAGGAAAGAGAGUAACUAAGGUGUACCUAAAGCUUUUGAAAAGAUUGUGCAAAAGGUUUGGUGAUUGUAUGAACUUCUGUUUUUCCUUUGAUUUUCUCAUGAAUAUGUAACAUUAGGGAUUGGUUUUGUUUGCUGGAAAUGCUCUUUUGAUUGUAUGGAUAUGUAAUAUGAAUGUUGAAAUGAUGAUUGGAAGGCUUAAAGUACAUAGAUACAACAUGGAAGCCAAAAACAUAAAACUGGCAGAAUAGGUUCCAACAGGACAGUCUGUGUUAGAAGCCUUAUAACUUAUUGUGUGAUCAUUGAAAUUAAGCCUAACAUAUACCAAAUGAAAGCUAAGACACAAAUC